GAUGAACGCUGACAGAAUGCUUAACACAUGCAAGUCAACUUGAAUUUGGGUUUUUAACUUAGAUUUGGGUGGCGGACGGGUGAGUAACGCGUAAAGAACUCACCUCACAGCUAGGGACAACAUUUAGAAAUGAAUGCUAAUACCUGAUAUUAUGAUUUUAAGGCAUCUUAGAAUUAUGAAAGCUAUAAGCACUGUGAGAGAGCUUUGCGUCCCAUUAGCUAGUUGGUGAGGUAACAGCUCACCAAGGCGAUGAUGGGUAGCCGGCCUGAGAGGGUGAACGGCCACAAGGGGACUGAGACACGGCCCUUACUCCUACGGGAGGCAGCAGUGGGGAAUAUUGGACAAUGGACCGAGAGUCUGAUCCAGCAAUUCUGUGUGCACGAUGAAGUUUUUCGGAAUGUAAAGUGCUUUCAGUUGGGAAGAAAAAAAUGACGGUACCAACAGAAGAAGUGACGGCUAAAUACGUGCCAGCAGCCGCGGUAAUACGUAUGUCACGAGCGUUAUCCGGAUUUAUUGGGCGUAAAGCGCGUCUAGGUGGUUAUGUAAGUCUGAUGUGAAAAUGCAGGGCUCAACUCUGUAUUGCGUUGGAAACUGUAUAACUAGAGUACUGGAGAGGUAAGCGGAACUACAAGUGUAGAGGUGAAAUUCGUAGAUAUUUGUAGGAAUGCCGAUGGGGAAGCCAGCUUACUGGACAGAUACUGACGCUAAAGCGCGAAAGCGUGGGUAGCAAACAGG
rnacentral:rRNA from 1 species